ACUUUAUAAAACUUUAAAAGCAAUUCUCUGUGCACAAUGAGUUCUUAAUUUCUACACGUCUUUUUAAUAGACUGUUAGAAGCACACUGAAAGCCUCAAAAGCUCUGCUUUAACCUGAGAUCCAUCCCAAGGUGUGUCUUUACACCAAGAGAAGCAACACUGGUGCACAUGAAGUCCUCCAGAAUGAGACAUUCUGCAAGUUUCUGGAAGCUGUCCCAAAUUCACAAAUGUUUUCAGAUUCUGCAAAAAUGAGAUUUUUCUCCUGAAGUUACUUGAUUGUGAAACACCACGAUGGUGGCCGUAUUCAUUUUUGGGGCAAUGAGAGCUGUCAGCCCUGCUAUCAUCGAAUCACGGAAUCACAGAACCAGGGGAUCAUAGAAUCACAGAAAGGUAACAUAAUGGACUAAAGGUGGCUAGACCAUGGGUGAAUGUAUGACCAGACUAACCAGGUCCUCAGAACCGAAGUAUGUUAGAGCAAGGAAUGAGGCCAGGACUGCAAAUAGUCCUGGCUUAAUUCAAACUGUCCUUUGAAAGAUGUACAGGGUAUGACCAGGCAGCUUUGCAGAAAAAACCUGCCAUGGUAAGAAGCUCAUCAAGAGCCCACAUAAUUCAUUGAAAGACUGACUUAGGGCCAUCCUGCAUAGACAGAUAUAAGGGGAGGCAUGCUUUAUUUCCUGAAGUCUUAGAGAUCUGCUGAAGAAGCAGAAUGGGACAGCUACAGGAGCAGAGAGCUCAUGGCACUCAGAAGUGGAUAUCUGGAAGACGUGUUUGGAACACACCAGACGCCAACUUCAGAGCUUUGGCAUGGAAGUGCAACACGCAGGGCUCAUAAAAUGGGCAGAGAAGAGUUAAGACACGUGGCACAAUUCCAGAGUGUACAAGUGUUAACUAUUAAAAGAGCUGAGCUGAUGCAAAAGACAAAAAGGAUUUGGACCAUGUUCUUUCACUUAUUUUUUUCUGAACUGAUGUAAAGCUGAUCCAGUAAAACCCCACCAAGCAUCUGUCAGCUCCUGGGUGCAGCACAGAAAUCCUCAGUACAAAAUUCUCCUCAUGAAAUGAUGAGGUUCAGGCCUUUGUACACAAGACCUGUGAUCCACCAGUCAGUUAAGAGCCACCACACUACAAAGUUUAAACCUUUUCUCCUAUAUUACAGCAACACUGUAGUGAUUUUGUAACUGCUUAUGCAAGUACCUCUGUAAGUUAAAAUGGCUCUAUAUCCCCUUAGCUUACCACUAGUGAAUUAAAGUUUGCAUGUGCCAACUUUUUUACAUUUGUGUGAAAGAACAACAGAGGGGAAAACUGAAGGGAUUAGUCUUAAUACCUUAGAGCUAAAUAAAUAUUUACUGAGUUUGAUUCUGCCAUCAUUUCAUAGCCAAUGUUAAG